CGGCUUCACUACGGGCGCGGAUUCGAAGCGAAUAUUGGGGAUCCAACUUCCGAGCAUGGCCUCGGAAGAGAUCUUCAAUCUUGCUAAGAUGAAGCUGAGACUGUACCGUAAUACUCGAUCAAGUUAAUGCUUGCGUGGGAAAGUGUUUGCCGCUCUGA
rnacentral:ncRNA from 1 species